UCAGAUGGCCGGGCGGCCGCUGGCUCCGGGCAGGUUCCGGGGCUGGAGGAAAGUCCGGGCUCCACGGGAAUACGGUGCCGGUCAACGGCCGGCGAGGGCGACCUCAGGGAAAGUGCCACAGAAAUCAGACCGCCAGCCCGGCUCGCCGCGCUGGCAAGGGUGAAACGGUGCGGUAAGAGCGCACCGCGCCCCUGGCAACAGGGGCGGCACGGUAAACCCCACCGGGAGCAAGGCCGAAUAGGGGUGGCCGGCGGGAGUUCCGCGAGGGACUCGGCCGCAGGGGCGUUCCCGCCCCGCCACCCGGGUUGGCCGCGAGAGGCAUGCCGCGAGGCAUGUCCCAGAGGAAUGGUCGCCCCGGGCGCGCGGCUUGCCGCGUGCCCGGACAGAACCCGGCUUACAGGCCAUCUGACGCG
rnacentral:RNase_P_RNA from 1 species